rnacentral:lncRNA from 1 species
UUCCAAGAAGUAUUUAGUCUCCAGGGAUGUCCAGUUUCAUGAAUCAGUUUUUCCUUUCAAAAAUGGCUCUCUCUCUGUUCCUCCAUCCACUCCUACUUUUCCUUUCAUCCAUUCUGGAGAACAUGAUGAUAACUCUAAUGGUUCUGAUUCUCCUAUUCCUUCCUCUCCUUCUGCUUCUGAUGCACCUGUCCAUCCACCUUCUUCUCUUCCUAUCUUGGAUACUAUUUCUGUUCCAGCUCUUAGGAAAUCUAGCAGAAUUCACCCAUCCACUCCUAUUUUUCCUUUCAUCCAUUCUGGAGAACAUGAUGAUAACUCUAAUGGUUCUGAUUCUCGUAUUCCUUACUCUCCUUCUGCUUCUGAUUCACCUGUCCAUUCACCUUCUUCUGUUCCUAUCUUGGAUACUAUUUCUGUUCCAGCUCUUAGGAAAUCUAGCAGAAUUCAUAAUCCUCCUUCCUACCUUAAGGAUUAUGUGUGCCAACUUCCUGCUUUCUCUGGCUCUUCUUCCUCCUCUUUGGAAGUUGAACCUCAAUACUAU